rnacentral:rRNA from 1 species
UUUAUGGAGAGUUUGAUCCUGGCUCAGGAUGAACGCUGGCGGCGUGCCUAAUACAUGCAAGUCGAGCGAACGGACGAGAAGCUUGCUUCUCUGAUGUUAGCGGCGGACGGGUGAGUAACACGUGGAUAACCUACCUAUAAGACUGGGAUAACUUCGGGAAACCGGAGCUAAUACCGGAUAAUAUUUUGAACUGCAUGGUUCAAAAGUGAAAGACGGUCUUGCUGUCACUUAUAGAUGGAUCCGCGCUGCAUUAGCUAGUUGGUAAGGUAACGGCUUACCAAGGCAAC